rnacentral:rRNA from 1 species
UACGGAGGGUGCAAGCGUUAUCCGGAUUCACUGGGUUUAAAGGGGGCGUAGGUGGGCAAGUAAGUCAGUGGUGAAAUCUUCGGGCUUAACCCGGAAACUGCCAUUGAUACUAUUUAUCUUGAAUACUUUGGAGGUAAGCGGAAUAUGUCAUGUAGCGGUGAAAUGCUUAGAUAUGACAUAGAACACCAAUUGCGAAGGCAGCUUACUACACAGUUAUUGACACUGAGGCACGAAAGCGUGGGGAUCAAACAGG